UACGGAGGGUGCAAGCGUUAUCCGGAUUCACUGGGCUUAAAGGGCGCGUAGGCGGGCGAUCAAGUCAGGGGUGAAAUCCUCCGGCUCAACCGGAGAACUGCCUUUGAUACUGGUCAUCUCGAGUGAGGUAGGGGCAUGCGGAACUGAUGGUGGAGCGGUGAAAUGUGUUGAUAUCAUCAGGAACUCCGGUGGCGAAAGCGGCGUGCUGGACCUUUACUGACGCUGAUGCGCGAAAGCCAGGGGAGCGAACGGG
rnacentral:rRNA from 1 species